rnacentral:rRNA from 1 species
GACGAACGCUGGCGGCGUGCUUAACACAUGCAAGUCGAACGGAAAGGCCCUGCUUUUGUGGGGUGCUCUAGUGGCGAACGGGUGAGUAACACGUGAGUAACCUGCCCUUGACUUUGGGAUAACUUCAGGAAACUGGGUCUAAUACCGGAUAGGAGCUCCUGCUGCAUGGUGGGGGUUGGAAAGUUUCGGCGGUUGGGGAUGGACUCGCGGCUUAUCAGCUUGUUGGUGGGGUAGUGUCUUACCAAGGCUUUGACGGGUAGCCGGCCUGAGAGGGUGACCGGCCACAUUGGGACUGAGAUACGGCCCAGACUCCUACGGGAGGCAGCAGUGGAGAAUAUUGCACAAUGGGCGGAAGCAUGAUGCAGCAACGCCGCGUGCGGGAUGACGGCCUUCGGGUUGUAAACCGCUUUCGCCUGUGACGAAGCGUGAGUGACGGUAAUGGGUAAAGAAGCACCGGCUAACUACGUG